rnacentral:rRNA from 1 species
CCUACGGGAGGCAGCAGUGGGGAAUAUUGCACAAUGGGCGCAAGCCUGAUGCAGCGACGCCGCGUGAGGGAUGACGGCCUUCGGGUUGUAAACCUCUUUCAGUAGGGAAGAAGCGAAAGUGACGGUACCUGCAGAAGAAGCGCCGGCUAACUACGUGCCAGCAGCCGCGGUAAUACGUAGGGCGCAAGCGUUAUCCGGAAUUAUUGGGCGUAAAGAGCUCGUAGGCGGUUUGUCGCGUCUGCCGUGAAAGUCCGGGGCUCAACUCCGGAUCUGCGGUGGGUACGGGCAGACUAGAGUGAUGUAGGGGAGACUGGAAUUCCUGGUGUAGCGGUGAAAUGCGCAGAUAUCAGGAGGAACACCGAUGGCGAAGGCAGGUCUCUGGGCAUUAACUGACGCUGAGGAGCGAAAGCAUGGGGAGCGAACAGGAUUAGAUACCCUGGUAGUCCAUGCCGUAAACGUUGGGCACUAGGUGUGGGGGACGAUUCCACGUUUUCCGCGCCGUAGCUAACGCAUUAAGUGCCCCGCCUGGGGAGUACGGCCGCAAGGCUAAACGUCAAAUGAAUUGACGG